UACAGAGGGGGCAAGCGUUAUUCGGAAUUAUUGGGCGUAAAGAGCGUGUAGGCGGCCACGCAGGUCCGCUGUGAAACCUCGAGGCUCAACCUCGAGCUGUCGGUGGAAACCGCGUGGCUAGAGUCCGGAAGAGGAGAAUGGAAUUCCCGGUGUAGCGGUGAAGUGCGCAGAUAUCGGGAAGAACACCCGUGGCGAAGGCGGCAUCCUGGACCGGCAUUGACGCUGAGGAGCGAAAGCCAGGGGAGCAAACAGGAUUAGAAACCCGUGUAGU
rnacentral:rRNA from 1 species